GAUGAACGCUGGCGGCGUGCCUAAUACAUGCAAGUCGAGCGAACGGACGAGAAGCUUGCUUCUCUGAUGUUAGCGGCGGACGGGUGAGUAACACGUGGAUAACCUACCUAUAAGACUGGGAUAACUUCGGGAAACCGGAGCUAAUACCGGAUGAUAUUUUGAACCGCAUGGUUCAAAAGUGAAAGACGGUCUUGCUGUCACUUAUAGAUGGAUCCGCGCUGCAUUAGCUAGUUGGUAAGGUAACGGCUUACCAAGGCAACGAUGCAUAGCCGACCUGAGAGGGUGAUCGGCCACACUGGAACUGAGACACGGUCCAGACUCCUACGGGAGGCAGCUGUAGGGAAUCUUCCGCAAUGGGCGAAAGCCUGACGGAGCAACGCCGCGUGAGUCAUGAAGGUCUUCGGAUCGUAAAACUCUGUUAUUAGGGAAGAACAUAUGUGUAAGUAACUGUGCACAUCUUGACGGUACCUAAUCAGAAAGCCACGGCUAACUACGUG
rnacentral:rRNA from 1 species